rnacentral:rRNA from 1 species
CCUACGGGUGGCAGCAGUGGGGAAUAUUGGACAAUGGGGGCAACCCUGAUCCAGCCAUGCCGCGUGUGUGAAGAAGGCCCUCGGGUUGUAAAGCACUUUCAGUGGGAAGAACGCCUGGUGGUUAAUACCCAUCAGGAAAGACAUCACUCACAGAAGAAGCACCGGCUAACUCCGUGCCAGCAGCCGCGGUAAUACGGAGGGUGCGAGCGUUAAUCGGAAUUACUGGGCGUAAAGCGCGCGUAGGUGGCUUGAUAAGCCGGUUGUGAAAGCCCCGGGCUCAACCUGGGAACGGCAUCCGGAACUGUCAAGCUAGAGUGCAGGAGAGGAAGGUAGAAUUCCCGGUGUAGCGGUGAAAUGCGUAGAGAUCGGGAGGAAUACCAGUGGCGAAGGCGGCCUUCUGGACUGACACUGACACUGAGGUGCGAAAGCGUGGGUAGCAAACAGGAUUAGAUACCCGAGUAGUC